UACGUAGGGGGCAAGCGUUGUCCGGAAUCAUUGGGCGUAAAGAGCGUGUAGGCGGCCCGCUAAGUCCGCUGUGAAAGUCCAGGGCUCAACCCUGGGAUGCCGGUGGAUACUGUCGGGCUCGAGUCCGGAAGAGGAGUGUGGAAUUCCUGGUGUAGCGGUGAAAUGCGCAGAUAUCAGGAGGAACACCAAUGGCGAAGGCAGCACUCUGGGACGUGACUGACGCUGAGACGCGAAAGCGUGGGGAGCGAACAGG
rnacentral:rRNA from 1 species